CACACUCAAUCUGCUGCGGUGAUAUGAAAUGGAUAUGGGUAUCAAUACCUCCUGCUGUCAGAAGGAGUCCCUCACCUGCAACCACCUCAGUUGAACCGCCUACUGUCAUUCCUGGCGUUACGCCGUCCAUAGCAGAUGGAUUUCCUGCUUUUCCAAUUCCCGAUAUCAAUCCAUUUUUUAUUCCAAUAUCUGCUUUAUAAAUACCCGUAUAAUCUACAACCAGGGCAUUUGUAAUCACCAUAUCCAGAUCCCCAUCUGCACUUGUGGUUUUCACAGAUUGUCCCAUACCGUCCCGAAG
rfam:Firmicutes bacterium CAG:424 genomic scaffold, scf84